rnacentral:rRNA from 1 species
CGAGGUGGCGAACGGGUGAGUAAUAUAUCGGAACGUGCCCGGUCGUGGGGGAUAACGUAGCGAAAGCUACGCUAAUACCGCAUACGAUCUAUGGAUGAAAGCGGGGGAUCGCAAGACCUCGCGCGAUUGGAGCGGCCGAUAUCAGAUUAGGUAGUUGGUGAGGUAAAGGCUCACCAAGCCGACGAUCUGUAGCUGGUCUGAGAGGACGACCAGCCACACUGGGACUGAGACACGGCCCAGACUCCUACGGGAGGCAGCAGUGGGGAAUUUUGGACAAUGGGCGCAAGCCUGAUCCAGCAAUGCCGCGUGCAGGAUGAAGGCCUUCGGGUUGUAAACUGCUUUUGUACGGAACGAAACGGUGAGCUCUAAUACAGUUUGCUAAUGACGGUACCGUAAGAAUAAGCACCGGCUAACUACGUG